CUGGCUUCUCGCUCAGGUGGAGCUGUGAAUCAAGUUUCCCUUCAACUUUCAGUGAGAAGGGGCUGGUGCUGCCUGCAUGGCAUGUGGCAUAGGCCACAGGUCCUGGCAAUAGCUGUCUGCUUCUAGCAGUCAUUUUGGACAUUCCUUCAAACCAAGCUCCAUCCCAUGCUGAAUAGUUUAAUCUCUCAGUCCAUCCAACGUAAGCCAAAUGUUUGCAAAAGUGCAGCUGAACCUUACUGAGCGGAGUACUCAUCGAUUUAAUACUAAAGAUGUUCAGCAGAAGUAAAAGGAGCUGGUUGUCACAUCCUCCAGGGCCACAUGACAGGCAGAUGGAAAGAAUUGCCCAAACCUUCAGCUGGGACCAAGAAUCCAUGCUCUGUGCUCCAGAAUAUGAAAUAAGAAUAGUUCUGGGGAAGAGUUUGAAGACCGAUUCCAAAAAUAUCCCAGAUAUU